rnacentral:rRNA from 1 species
AUUGAACGCUGGCGGCAGGCCUAACACAUGCAAGUCGAGCGGAUGACGGGAGCUUGCUCCUUGAUUCAGCGGCGGACGGGUGAGUAAUGCCUAGGAAUCUGCCUGGUAGUGGGGGACAACGUUUCGAAAGGAACGCUAAUACCGCAUACGUCCUACGGGAGAAAGCAGGGGACCUUCGGGCCUUGCGCUAUCAGAUGAGCCUAGGUCGGAUUAGCUAGUUGGUGGGGUAAUGGCUCACCAAGGCGACGAUCCGUAACUGGUCUGAGAGGAUGAUCAGUCACACUGGAACUGGGACACGGUCCAGACUCCUACGGGAGGCAGCAGUGGGGAAUAUUGGACAAUGGGCGAAAGCCUGAUCCAGCCAUGCCGCGUGUGUGAAGAAGGUCUUCGGAUUGUAAAGCACUUUAAGUUGGGAGGAAGGGCAGUAAGUUAAUUCCCAAGAUGAGUGGACGUUACUCGCAGAAUAAGCACCGGCUAACUCUGUGCCAGCCGCCGCGGUAA